GAUGAACGCUAGCGGCAGGCUUAACACAUGCAAGUCGAGGGGUAUAGUUCUUCGGAAUUAGAGACCGGCGCACGGGUGCGUAACGCGUAUGCAAUCUACCUUUCACAGAGGGAUAGCCCCAGAGAAAUUUGGAUUAAUACCUCAUAGUAUAGCAGUUUCGCAUGAAACCACUAUUAAAGUUCCAACGGUGAAAGAUGAGCAUGCGUCCCAUUAGCUUGUUGGUAAGGUAACGGCUUACCAAGGCAACGAUGGGUAGGGGUCCUGAGAGGGAGAUCCCCCACACUGGUACUGAGACACGGACCAGACUCCUACGGGAGGCAGCAGUGAGGAAUAUUGGACAAUGGGCGCAAGCCUGAUCCAGCCAUGCCGCGUGCAGGAUGACGGUCCUAUGGAUUGUAAACUGCUUUUAUACAGGAAGAAACACACCCUCGUGAGGGUACUUGACGGUACUGUAUGAAUAAGGACCGGCUAACUCCGUGCCAGCAGCCG
rnacentral:rRNA from 1 species